rnacentral:misc_RNA from 1 species
AAAGUCGUAACAAGGUCUCCGUUGGUGAACCAGCGGAGGGAUCAUUACCGAGUUUACAACUCCCAAACCCCAGUGUGAACGUUACCAAUCUGUUGCCUCGGCGGGAUCUCUGCCCCGGGCGCGUCGCAGCCCCGGAUCCCAUGGCGCCCGCCGGAGGACCAACCAAAAACUCAUUUUUCUCUCCGUCGCGGCUCCGUCGCGGCUCUGUUAUAAUUUGCUCUGAGCCUUUCUCGGCGACCCUAGCGGGCGUCUCGAAAAUGAAUCAAAACUUUCAACAACGGAUCUCUUGGUUCUG